GUGUGAGUGGGACGUGGCAGAGCCAUGAAGUGAGUGUGGAGUCCCCAGUCCGUGGUUCCCUCCCAUGAGGGAAACGGCCGGAGAAGGAUGAAGCGAAAGACGAUUCCUUGGUUGGUCUGUCAGCUGUUUGUCUGUAUUUUAUCGACUGGAAUAAGGAUGGGAGUUUGUACUCCAUAGAUUGAGAAGAGGGACCAGAGGAAAGGUGUACGUUCCACCCGACAAAUGAAUGUUGGCCCGUUUCUGUUAUGCUUUGUUUAGUGUGUGAUGAGGUGUACCGGGGCU
ensembl:lncRNA